rnacentral:lncRNA from 1 species
CAAACCUCUAGCCGGAGCGUGCAGAGGGGCACGUUGAGGAGCUCUAACCCCAAGGCAGCAUCUAGGAGUGAAUGUUUAUAGCUCCUGAGUCUCCUGUGGGUGUGUGUUACCCCGUGCUCUUUUAGUUUAGUCAUCUGUAAGAAGCUUGUGUUUAUCAGCUCAAUUAGAUCCCUUGCCUUAUUGCAAGGAUAGAGGGCUUUUCUGUAUUUCGGGGUUUCUUUCCUUGGUGUACCGGAAGAAUUGGAUUACACCCGGGCCUGGACAAUCAGCGCAAGGUUUUAUUGAGCGGAAGUAGCUCUCAGCAGAUGGGGAAGACAGAAGGGAGAGAUGGAGUGGGAAGUUGGUUUUCCCCUGGGGUAGGGCUGCUCAGCAGCAGGGCUCUCCUCUGUCCGCCCCAGCCAAAAUCUGCUUCGGGCCUCGAUGGCCUGCCAGCCUGCCAGCAUCCGCCGGUGCGCUCUUACUCAGGCUGAAGCACAAAGGCAUGAUCAAAGCUCAUGGCAGCCUCAAGUUCCUGGGUUCAAAUGAUCCUCUCACCUCAGCCUUGCAAGUAGAGCACUAUCUUCUCAGAGGAUUUGAUGCAUGAACACUGUAGAUGAUUGAAUUGAGCUUCACUGGAUGAUAGCAUGUGUUUGCGUUUCCUCUUAUAACUCAUGAUAUUACAAUUUUAUCCUUCAAAAAAAAAUCUUUGUUAUGGUACUUUCUAGGGGAAAAGAAUUCUUCCACAAUUAGGCCCUCUUUAAAACAUGGUUUUGCCCAUUCUGAAAAAUGUAAACAGAAGUCUUAACAAUUGAGGAGUUAGGAUUGAUGGAAUAGCCACAAUGGACAAAAUUUAAGCCUUGGAAUUACUUGGAGAUUUAUGUUGCAUUUUCCUGUUUCCCCCCCCCCCAGUGUGGCUUUAGUAUUGCUAAAUAUCUUUCGUUAACUAAUCAUCAAGGGUAACCCCUAUAUGCAUAAUGUCAAGUGAAGCAGAGGGUUGAGAAGGACAGUCAGAAGAGAAGGCAUCCAAGUCUUACACGCUGAAAAAUAAAGCAUGUUUCUUAAAAUUCAUAAAAUAGCAAUGCAUCUUGCAACACAAAACUGACCAUAUUUAUAUAAAUAUUAUAUUUUUGUGUUUGAUAGUUAUGAAAAAUGAGAGCAUAGAGAGUAUUACUUUCAAAAAUCUGAUAUAAAGUUUAAAUUCACCAAAUGAAAUCUAAAAUUCAUUUAGAAAAUAUAAACUUUUAUUUGGAAUGAGAUUGUGUAAUGUAUUUGAUUCACAUUAUAAGUAAAAUCAUAUAUCCUGCAUUUGUGAGUAGAAGACACAUAGAAAAAAGAUGUUUGUUUUACUUUAAAACAAUGAGUUUCUUAGAAAAUGCAAAACAUUUGUGAGUAGAUAUUGCUAAAUGCUAACAUGAGAAAAGAUUGAGUCAUUUUAUUCACCCAUAUAUUAGCUCGGAAUCUAAAAUAUAGAUAAACAUUUUGUGAAGCCAGAAAAAUAUGUUUAAAAUCAUUACUUUUUGUAGCUCUUUUUCUUCCAUAUCAGUGCUAUUGUUUAUAGCUGAAGAACCUUGAGGCUUCCAGUUUGUAUUUUUCUUCCCAUGCCAGUGAUUUGUGGUAUUAGUGCAGGUCAUUGAUUCUGUACUGCUGAGCUAUCCAGCUUAUGGCAGACAAGGGAGCUGAGUGUGUCUUUAAAGUGCCCUUUACUUUCAAAAUUCAAGUUGUAGAAAUGACACCUCUGGUUUUAUAACUGUGCAGCUUGCACUGUGUUGCAUAAAAUGUUCUCCCAAGUGGACAAGGUUAGUUGUUUUGGAGACUAAUUCUCAUUUUUUGUGUUCAAGUUGGGUUGAAAAUAAGAUCCUAUCUUAGAAUAGGAUUCUAUUCUUAGAAUAGGAUCUUAUUGCAUAAGAAUCCCUCAUAAAAAUGGGAUCUUAUUGCAUACGUUUUCAGUCUGGGUCCUGCAACUAUAUUAAGUAAUAGUAGUAGGUAAGCCAAAACUUACUUUACAUAUUAUCUGCUGAAGUAAAUAUGCCAGGCAUUUAGCAGUGGGUUCUUCGUCAUUUAAGGAUUGUGAUGCUAAUAAUGUUAAUAUCAGAAUUAAUCAAUCUUGCUACAAAAUAAUUUAUACUGCUAUAUAAUCUACAAUGAUAUUUUUAAGCAAAAGUUAUAUAAUUUUAAAACUCUACUGACAAACUCUAUAUCUAGAAGAAUUACUAAGUAAAAGAUGAGAUGAUAAAUCUUUUAAUUCCAUCAAUAUGGAGAUUAUUAUCCUAUAUAUACAUAUAGGACUAGCAAAGUUAGCUCUACACUACUGAAUAUAUAAAUUCAUAUAAUCAUAAGAUUUUACAAAUGUAGUUUUAUUUUUCUGAAACAUUCUUUUAAUUUUUUUCCAAACUUUUCCUGACAAGUUCCUACCUAUUUUUUUCAGGUCUGCUUUGUUGUUUUUGUUUUGUAAUUUUGGAAUAAGUUUAUUCAUCUACUGUGGAUUUCCAUCACACCACACAUCUUCAUUGCAGCUACAUUAAAAUACAAGUUUCUCCCCCAUAUAGUUACGUGAGAAUAGAGAUCAUACCUUUCCUGCUCAUCAAGAUAUUUUCAACAUCUGAUACUGUGGUUUGAAUUGGAUCUGAACACAUGCUCUGGAGUUAAACUGACGAGGUGUAAAUACCGGCUCAGCCACUUAGCAAUUAUGUGAGGUUGGCCAAAUGACUUCACCAGUCUUUAUGAAGAUUAAAUGAUGUAAUACUUAUACAGUGCCUAGAAUAGGAUCUAUCUGGCAUAUUAUAAAACUAUGGCAAAUGGCAAGUAUUAAUAUGACUAUUAUUAUAAUUCUAUAAAUAUUCAUUAAAUUAAUGUUGAAUUUGUUUAGAUGUAGUGUGCAUUUUAUAUUCAGAGGAUAUGCCUUUAUUGAUAUAAAUAAAAAUAUUUUAAUAAACAACUAGAUAAACCAAAGUCAUCUCUUUGGUAAAUGUCUCAUAACUGAAAUUAUUUGAUAAAUAACUAAUUAGGGUGAUAGCCUGAAAACUCUAUUAUCUUCAAAGAUUAACAACUAAAUUGUAGCAUUCAAAGAUUGACAUAUAGAAUAUAAGUAAAAAUGUAAAUAUAUAUUAUAUUUAAUUAAGAUAUUACUGUAGUUAUAAUAAAACUUCAUAAUUCACAUUUGAUAUUUUUUCCAAAUUAAAAAUAUUCUGGUGGAGAAUUUUGGAGCCUUGAUUGCUCAUUUCUCUCUGUGUUGGAGAACACCUUACACUGAGGGAGAAAAUGUACACCAUACUCAUAGAUAUUUAUUUUAUCUGCUUCUCUAUAGAGGUCUUGGAUUUGCAUCUACUUCUUACUCGGUGGAUUUUCAAAUUACAGUUGACCCUUGAAAAACACAGGUUUGAACUGUGCAUAUUCACAUAUACAAUGAUUUUCUCCUGCCUCUGCACCUCCUGAGACAGAAAGACUACCCUGUCCUCGUCCUUCUCCUCAGCCUACUCAAUGUGAAGACAAGAAUGAAGACCUUUAUGAUGAUGCAUUUCUACUUAAAAUGAAUAACAAACAUAGUGUGUCUUCCUUAUAAUUUUCUUAAUAACAUUUUCUCUAUCUUUAUUUUUAAAAAUACAGUAUAUAAUACAUAUAACAUACAAAAUAUGUGUUAAUUGAAUGUUUAUGUCUUCAGUGAGGCUUCCAUUCAACAGUAAUCUAAGAGUUCAGUUUUAGAGGAGUUAAAAGUUAUACCAGGAUUUUCAACUGUUCCCCUAAUCCCUAAGUUGUUCAAGGGUCAGUCGAAUUUUAAUUGUUGUGGGACUUGUCACUCAGUGUAACCUGAAACUUUCUAAUGCCUAAUACUUAUCAGAAAGUACAAGUGGAAGAACUAAUAAUUAUUGAAUAUGCCAGAAAGAUGAACAGUAUAUCAAUUUUUGUAAAUAAUCUAAUUUUAAUAUUGGAUGAUGCUAAGUUACUGGGAAGAUUUAUGCCAGGUUCAAAUCACUUUUUCUGUACUUUUAGAAUUAUAUAAUCAGUAUACAUUGAAAAAUGCAUAGCACUUUAAUGAAACACAUUACUAUGUCUACCAUAGAAUUGUUUUAGCAGACUUCAUCAUAUCACAUAGAGUCAUCAGGAUGGAGGGAAGAAAUAUGUCUCUCAUCUCAUUAUCAAGAUUACCAAUGAUACUUUUCAAUAAUUUAUUUUUGCCUUAUGUACACUUUGAAUCUUGUAAAUAAUUCACCUAUCUCUAUUGGGUUAGCUGCUAGAAAGUUGAAAAGCCAAUUCAUAGUCCACAUCGUAGCUGUUUCAUAAGACUUCUUGAAUCCAUGCGUUUUGUUUACCUU